UGGGGAAUAUUGGACAAUGGGCGAAAGCCUGAUCCAGCCAUGCCGCGUGAGUGACGAAGGCCUUAGGGUUGUAAAACUCUUUCGUCGGGGACGAUAAUGACGGUACCCGAAGAAGAAGCUCCGGCUAACUUCGUGCCAGCAGCCGCGGUAAUACGAAGGGAGCUAGCGUUGUUCGGAAUCACUGGGCGUAAAGCGCACGUAGGCGGAUAGUUAAGUCAGGGGUGAAAUCCUGGGGCUCAACCCCAGAACUGCCUUCAAAACUGGCGACCUGGACUCAAGCAGAGGCAAGUGGAAUUGCGAGUGUAGAGGUGAAAUUCGUAGAUAUUCGCAGGAACACCAGUGGCGAAGGCGGCUUGCUGGGCUUGUAGUGACGCUGAGACGCGAAAGCGUGGGGAGCAAACAGGAUUAGAUACCCAAGUAGUCCCUGAGCGGGCUGGCAAGGCGCAU
rnacentral:rRNA from 1 species